rnacentral:rRNA from 1 species
AAUCAACGCUGGCGGCGUGCCUAACACAUGCAAGUCGCACGAGAAAGAGGGGGCAACUCCUUGAGUAAAGUGGCGUACGGGUGAGUAACACGUGACUAACCUACCUCCGAAUGGGGAAUAACUCCGGGAAACCGGGGCUAAUACCGCAUAACAUCUACGGAUCAAAGCAGCAAUGCGUUUGGAGAGGGGGUCGCGGCUGAUUAGCUAGUUGGUGGGGUAAUGGCCCACCAAGGCGACGAUCAGUAUCCGGCCUGAGAGGGCGCACGGACACACUGGA